UAAGUAGGCGGUCUAUUAAGUGAGGGGUGAAAUCUUCCGGCUCAAUCGGAAAACUGCCCUUCAAACUAUUAAACUUGAGAUUGGAAGAGGGAAACGGAAUUAGCAGUGUAAGGGUGAAAUCUGUAGAUAUUGCUAAGAACACCAGCGGCGAAGGCGGUUUCCUGGUCCAAAUCUGACGCUAAAUUACGAAAGCUAGGGGAGCAAACAGGAUUAGAUACCCUGGUAGUCC
rnacentral:rRNA from 1 species